UACGGGGGGGGCAAGCGUUGUUCGGAAUUACUGGGCGUAAAGGGCUCGUAGGUGGCCAACUAAGUCAGACGUGAAAUCCCUCGGCUUAACUGGGGAACUGCGUCUGAUACUGGAUGGCUUGAGAUUGGGAGAGGGAUGCGGAAUUCCAGGUGUAGCGGUGAAAUGCGUAGAUAUCUGGAGGAACACCGGUGGCGAAGGCGGCAUCCUGGACCAACACUGACACUGAGGAGCGAAAGCCAGGGGAGCAAACGGG
rnacentral:rRNA from 1 species